UGGCGAACGGGUGAGUAAUAUAUCGGAACGUGCCCAGUCGUGGGGGAUAACGUAGAGAAAUUUACGCUAAUACCGCAUACGAUCUACGGAUGAAAGUGGGGGAUCGCAAGACCUCAUGCUCAUGGAGCGGCCGAUAUCUGAUUAGCUAGUUGGUAGGGUAAAAGCCUACCAAGGCUUCGAUCAGUAGCUGGUCUGAGAGGACGACCAGCCACACUGGGACUGAGACACGGCCCAGACUCCUACGGGAGGCAGCAGUGGGGAAUUUUGGACAAUGGGGGCAACCCUGAUCCAGCAAUGCCGCGUGAGUGAAGAAGGCCUUCGGGUUGUAAAGCUCUUUUGUCAGGGAAGAAACGGUGGGGGCUAAUAUCCUCUGCUAAUGACGGUACCUGAAGAAUAAGCACCGGCUAACUACGUGCCAGCAGCCGCGGUAAUACGUAGGGUGCAAGCGUUAAUCGGAAUUACUGGGCGUAAAGCGUGCGCAGGCGGUUGUGCAAGACAGAUGUGAAAUCCCCGGGCUCAACCUGGGAAUUGCAUUUGUGAC
rnacentral:rRNA from 1 species